CCUACGGGCGGCAGCAGUGGGGAAUAUUGGACAAUGGGGGCAACCCUGAUCCAGCCAUGCCGCGUGUGUGAAGAAGGCCCUCGGGUUGUAAAGCACUUUCAGUGAGGAAGAACGCCUGGUGGUUAAUACCCAUCAGGAAAGACAUCACUCACAGAAGAAGCACCGGCUAACUCCGUGCCAGCAGCCGCGGUAAUACGGAGGGUGCGAGCGUUAAUCGGAAUUACUGGGCGUAAAGCGCGCGUAGGUGGCUUGAUAAGCCGGUUGUGAAAGCCCCGGGCUCAACCUGGGAACGGCAUCCGGAACUGUCAAGCUAGAGUGCAGGAGAGGAAGGUAGAAUUCCCGGUGUAGCGGUGAAAUGCGUAGAGAUCGGGAGGAAUACCAGUGGCGAAGGCGGCCUUCUGGACUGACACUGACACUGAGGUGCGAAAGCGUGGGUAGCAAACAGGAUUAGCACCCUUGUAGUC
rnacentral:rRNA from 1 species